rnacentral:rRNA from 1 species
GACUGUUUACCAAAAACAUAGCCUUAAUAAUAAUUUAAGGUGAUGCCUGCCCAAUGAAUAUAAAAAAAAACUUUCUUAACAAGAAAAAUUAUAAGACUUCAAUGGCCGCAGUAUUCUUGACUGUGUUAAGGUAGCACAAUCAAUCGCCGCUUAAUUGGCGGAUGGUAUGAAUGGUAAUACGAAAAUUCCACUGUCUCAAAUGUAAAAUUGAAAAAAUUGAAAUAAUAGUUAAGAUGCUAUUUAAAAUUGUAAGACGAUAAGACCCUAUAAAGCUUUACUACCACCCUUAAAACCUAACUAAUUUUAGGGGAAGGGUAGUUUACUUGGGGCAAGGACUUUUUAAAAAGAAAAAAAGUAAGCAAAAUAAAUAAUACAUUUAUUGUAUAAACUAUACCUUUAACAAUCACAAAGUGGGCUAUAAUGACCCGUUUAUUCUUAAAAAUCAGAUAAACAAUUAUUAAAUAAAAGCUACUUUAGGGAUAACAGGAUAAUUUUAUCAAAGAGCUCAUAUUACUGAUAAAGUUUGUCACCUCGAUGUUGAAUUAAGAUAUCCUAGUGGAGCAGAAGCUGCUAAAGGUGGGUCUGUUCGACCCUUAAAUAUCUUACAUGAUUUGAGUUCAUUCCGU